rnacentral:tRNA from 2 species
GGGUUGCUAGCUCAACUGGUAGAGCAACUGACUCUUAAUCAGUAGGUCCCGGGUUCGAGCCCCGGGCAACCCA